UACGGGGGGGGCAAGCGUUGUUCGGAAUUACUGGGCGUAAAGGGUUCGUAGGUGGCCAACUAAGUCAGACGUGAAAUCCCUCAGCUUAACUGGGGAACUGCGUCUGAUACUGGAUGGCUUGAGUGUGGGAGAGGAAUGCGGAAUUCCAGGUGUAGCGGUGAAAUGCGUAGAUAUCUGGAGGAACACCGGUGGCGAAGGCGGCAUUCUGGACCAUAACUGACACUGAGAGACGAAAGCCAGGGGAGCAAACGGG
rnacentral:rRNA from 1 species